AACCAUUUCUACAUUGCUAAAGUUUAUACACUACUGGACCCACAGUCAAAUUUUAAGUAUUUUCUCUAUCUAUUUUAUUAGUAAUUACAUUUUUCUUGCCCUUUAUUUUAAAAAUGAUUAUAAUAUGUUUUUAUUAUCAUUAAAAAAGGGAAUAAUAAGUGUCUCUGGCGGUACACAAUUUAAAAUAUUUCUUUCUUAUACUUUUUGUUCCUGUAUUUGGGGCACAAUUUAAACCUCAAGUCAGAUAGAGGUUUAGCCAAAACGAGUGAUUAAAAUCAGAAAAACGUACUUUACCUGGCCCUUGACUCCCUAUUUAUAGAUUCUAUAUUCAUAACCGUCCAUUAAUUAUCUCAAACCGCCACAUCUUCUGUUACUUUCCAAUCAAUACUCAUGAAUGCAUUUCUAUGCUUAUAUCCACUGACCGAUCUACAUUUACACCCUCUCCCAUGACCCCAGCCGAUCGGUCAACCCGUACCCCCUCCACUACACUUUUUAAUUAUUCUGAAAUUUUGAAAUAAAUUGUAAUAAUAAAUGCAAUAAUUUUAGUCAGCAAUUUUUACAAUAAUUUUA
rnacentral:lncRNA from 1 species